AUUGAACGCUGGCGGCAGGCCUAACACAUGCAAGUCGAACGGUAACAGGAAGAAGCUUGCUUCUUUGCUGACGAGUGGCGGACGGGUGAGGAAUGUCUGGGAAACUGCCUGAUGGAGGGGGAUAACUACUGGAAACGGUAGCUAAUACCGCAUAACGUCGCAAGACCAAAGAGGGGGACCUUCGGGCCUCUUGCCCUCGGAUGUGCCCAGAUGGGAUUAGCUAGUAGGUGGGGUAACGGCGCACCUAGGCGACGAUCCCUAGCUGGUCUGAGAGGAUGACCAGCCACACUGGAACUGAGACACGGUCCAGACUCCUACGGGAGGCAGCAGUGGGGAAUAUUGCACAAUGGGCGCAAGCCUGAUGCAGCCAUGCCGCGUGUAUGAAGAAGGCCUUCGGGUUGUAAAGUACUUUCAGCGGGGAGGAAGGGAGUAAAGUUAAUACCUUUGCUAAUUGACGUUACCCGCAGAAGAAGCACCGGCUAACUCCGUG
rnacentral:rRNA from 1 species